AAGGAUCAUUAACACGAUUCUUAUACAAACAACCGUGAACAUGUUAUCUACCUCACGCUUUAUAACCGUCCUGGUCGGUGAAGGGUGGAAGUCGCCUCGGUGACUUUGGCCUGCCUGGACUACCGAGUCUUGGAGCUCGAAGGUUGUAGAGUUGGAGGCAUUCUCGCCCUAGUUAUCUCCAUCUUUGAUGGCUAGGGUGUUUUAACCAAUAUUAACCCCAUUAAAUUAAUCGAACUAAUUAAGUGCUUAUAGGCUGCAAAGCCUGUAGGACACCAAGUUAUACGUAACUGAGAACAACUCUUAGCAAUGGAUAUCUUGGUUCCC
rnacentral:misc_RNA from 1 species